rnacentral:rRNA from 1 species
UACGUAGGGGGCUAGCGUUGUCCGGAAUCAUUGGGCGUAAAGCGCGUGUAGGCGGUCCGGUAAGUCCGCUGUGAAAGUCGGGGGCUCAACCCUCGGAUGCCGGUGGAUACUGUCGGGCUUGAGUACGGAAGAGGCGAGUGGAAUUCCUGGUGUAGCGGUGAAAUGCGCAGAUAUCAGGAGGAACACCAACGGCGAAGGCAGCACUCUGGGCCGGUACUGACGCUGAGGAGCGAAAGCGUGGGGAGCAAACAGG